CCUACGGGAGGCUGCAGUGGGGAAUAUUGGACAAUGGGGGGAACCCUGAUCCAGCCAUGCCGCGUGUGUGAAGAAGGCCCUCGGGUUGUAAAGCACUUUCAGUGAGGAAGAACGCCUGGUGGUUAAUACCCAUGAGGAAAGACAUCACUCACAGAAGAAGCACCGGCUAACUCCGUGCCAGCAGCCGCGGUAAUACGGAGGGUGCGAGCGUUAAUCGGAAUUACUGGGCGUAAAGCGCGCGUAGGUGGCUUGAUAAGCCGGUUGUGAAAGCCCCGGGCUCAACCUGGGAACGGCAUCCGGAACUGUCAAGCUAGAGUGCAGGAGAGGAAGGUAGAAUUCCCGGUGUAGCGGUGAAAUGCGUAGAGAUCGGGAGGAAUACCAGUGGCGAAGGCGGCCUUCUGGACUGACACUGACACUGAGGUGCGAAAGCGUGGGUAGCAAACAGGAUUAGAUACCCCGGUAGUC
rnacentral:rRNA from 1 species